GGGGGGGGGGGGGGGGGGGCGGGGGGGGGGGAGGUCGGGCGGGGGGGCGCUGCUUUUGGGGGUUGCGCGGGUGGCUCGCGGGUGCUUGGCACGUGCUUCCCCUGCCCUGGACUGUGUUAUAACUUCCGUGCGCUGGGGCCCAUACCGUCUCCGGUCUCCUGCUGCCUUGGCGUGGUUUGACAGUUUCGGCGGUUGGGUAUGGACUCGCGGCUUAGCAGCUUUGUGGUGGGGUAGUGGCGUACCAAGGCUUUGACGGGUAGCCGGACUGAGAGGUUGACCGGCCACAUUGGGACUGAGAUACGGCCCAGACUCCUACGGGAGGCAGCAGUGGGGAAUAUUGCACAAUGGGCGGAAGCCGGAUGCAGCAACGCCGCGUGCGGGAUGACGGCCUUCGGGUUGUAAACCGCUUUCGCCUGUGACGAAGCGUGAGUGACGGUAAUGGGUAAAGAAGCACCGGCUAACUACGUG
rnacentral:rRNA from 1 species